GGCGCUGGCGGCGCGGGCGGCGCGGAUCGGCUGCGAGCUGUUCGUGAUGGACGACGGCUGGUUCGGCGCCCGGACCAGCGCCG
rnacentral:tRNA from 1 species